AGCCGAGUCGUCUAAUGGUAGGACAGUGGAUUCUGGUUCCAUACGUGAGGGUUCGACUCCUUCCUCGGCUG
rnacentral:tRNA from 1 species